rnacentral:rRNA from 2 species
GGGUUGUGAGGUUAAGCGACUAAGCGUACACGGUGGAUGCCCUGGCAGUCAGAGGCGAUGAAGGGCGUGCUAAUCUGCGAUAAGCGCCGGUAAGGUGAUAUGAACCGUUAUAACCGGCGAUACCCGAAUGGGGAAACCCAGUGUGACUCGUCACACUAUCAUUAACUGAAUCCAUAGGUUAAUGAGGCGAACCGGGGGAACUGAAACAUCUAAGUACCCCGAGGAAAAGAAAUCAACCGAGAUUCCCCCAGUAGCGGCGAGCGAACGGGGAGGAGCCCAGAGCCUGAAUCAGCAUGUGUGUUAGUGGAAGCGUCUGGAAAGGCGCGCGAUACAGGGUGACAGCCCCGUACACAAAAGCGCAUGUGCUGUGAGCUCGAUGAGUAGGGCGGGACACGUGGUAUCCUGUCUGAAUAUGGGGGGACCAUCCUCCAAGGCUAAAUACUCCUGACUGACCGAUAGUGAACCAGUACCGUGAGGGAAAGGCGAAAAGAACCCCGGCGAGGGGAGUGAAAAAGAACCUGAAACCGUGUACGUACAAGCAGUGGGAGCCCCACCACUAAGCCAGUGGUGAACUCCACAUACGCAUCCUUUGCUGAGGAUACGGUUAACGGAGCGAAAGCGACGUUCAACCGCAAAAGAAGCAGAGGGGGCUUAGUGGUGGGGUGACUGCGUACCUUUUGUAUAAUGGGUCAGCGACUUAUAUUCUGUAGCAAGGUUAACCGUAUAGGGGAGCCGGAGGGAAACCGAGUCUUAAUUGGGCGUUAAGUUGCAGGGUAUAGACCCGAAACCCGGUGAUCUAGCCAUGGGCAGGUUGAAGGUUGGGUAACACUAACUGGAGGACCGAACCGACUAAUGUUGAAAAAUUAGCGGAUGACCUGUGGCUGGGGGUGAAAGGCCAAUCAAACCGGGAGAUAGCUGGUUCUCCCCGAAAGCUAUUUAGGUAGCGCCUCGUGAAUUCAUCUCCGGGGGUAGAGCACUGUUUCGGCUAGGGGGCCAUCCCGGCUUACCAACCCGAUGCAAACUGCGAAUACCGGAGAAUGUUAUCACGGGAGACACACGGCGGGUGCUAACGUCCGUCGUGAAGAGGGAAACAACCCAGACCGCCAGCUAAGGUCCCAAAGUCAUGGUUAAGUGGGAAACGAUGUGGGAAGGCCCAGACAGCCAGGAUGUUGGCUUAGAAGCAGCCAUCAUUUAAAGAAAGCGUAAUAGCUCACUGGUCGAGUCGGCCUGCGCGGAAGAUGUAACGGGGCUAAACCAUGCACCGAAGCUGCGGCAGCGACGCUGAUGCGUUGUUGGGUAGGGGAGCGUUCUGUAAGCCUGCGAAGGUGGCCUGUGAGGGUUGCUGGAGGUAUCAGAAGUGCGAAUGCUGACAUAAGUAACGAUAAAGCGGGUGAAAAGCCCGCUCGCCGGAAGACCAAGGGUUCCUGUCCAACGUUAAUCGGGGCAGGGUGAGUCGACCCCUAAGGCGAGGCCGAAAGGCGUAGUCGAUGGGAAACGGGUUAAUAUUCCCGUACUUGGUGUUACUGCGAAGGGGGGACGGAGAAGGCUAUGUUGGCCGGGCGACGGUUGUCCCGGUUUAAGCGUGUAGGUGUGUGUUCCAGGUAAAUCCGGUUCACUUUAACACUGAGGCGUGAUGACGAGGCACUACGGUGCUGAAGCAACAAAUGCCCUGCUUCCAGGAAAAGCCUCUAAGCAUCAGGUAACAUCAAAUCGUACCCCAAACCGACACAGGUGGUCAGGUAGAGAAUACCAAGGCGCUUGAGAGAACUCGGGUGAAGGAACUAGGCAAAAUGGUGCCGUAACUUCGGGAGAAGGCACGCUGACACGUAGGUGAAGUGAUUUACUCAUGGAGCUGAAGUCAGUCGAAGAUACCAGCUGGCUGCAACUGUUUAUUAAAAACACAGCACUGUGCAAACACGAAAGUGGACGUAUACGGUGUGACGCCUGCCCGGUGCCGGAAGGUUAAUUGAUGGGGUCAGCGCAAGCGAAGCUCCUGAUCGAAGCCCCGGUAAACGGCGGCCGUAACUAUAACGGUCCUAAGGUAGCGAAAUUCCUUGUCGGGUAAGUUCCGACCUGCACGAAUGGCGUAAUGAUGGCCAGGCUGUCUCCACCCGAGACUCAGUGAAAUUGAACUCGCUGUGAAGAUGCAGUGUACCCGCGGCAAGACGGAAAGACCCCGUGAACCUUUACUAUAGCUUGACACUGAACAUUGAGCCUUGAUGUGUAGGAUAGGUGGGAGGCUUUGAAGUGUGGACGCCAGUCUGCAUGGAGCCGACCUUGAAAUACCACCCUUUAAUGUUUGAUGUUCUAACGUGGACCCGUGAUCCGGGUUGCGGACAGUGUCUGGUGGGUAGUUUGACUGGGGCGGUCUCCUCCUAAAGAGUAACGGAGGAGCACGAAGGUUGGCUAAUCCUGGUCGGACAUCAGGAGGUUAGUGCAAUGGCAUAAGCCAGCUUGACUGCGAGCGUGACGGCGCGAGCAGGUGCGAAAGCAGGUCAUAGUGAUCCGGUGGUUCUGAAUGGAAGGGCCAUCGCUCAACGGAUAAAAGGUACUCCGGGGAUAACAGGCUGAUACCGCCCAAGAGUUCAUAUCGACGGCGGUGUUUGGCACCUCGAUGUCGGCUCAUCACAUCCUGGGGCUGAAGUAGGUCCCAAGGGUAUGGCUGUUCGCCAUUUAAAGUGGUACGCGAGCUGGGUUUAGAACGUCGUGAGACAGUUCGGUCCCUAUCUGCCGUGGGCGCUGGAGAACUGAGGGGGGCUGCUCCUAGUACGAGAGGACCGGAGUGGACGCAUCACUGGUGUUCGGGUUGUCAUGCCAAUGGCACUGCCCGGUAGCUAAAUGCGGAAGAGAUAAGUGCUGAAAGCAUCUAAGCACGAAACUUGCCCCGAGAUGAGUUCUCCCUGAGACUUUAGGUCUCCUGAAGGAACGUUGAAGACGACGACGUUGAUAGGCCGGGUGUGUAAGCGCAGCGAUGCGUUGAGCUAACCGGUACUAAUGAACCGUGAGGCUUAACCUUACAACGCCGAAG